CCUACGGGAGGCAGCAGUGGGGAAUAUUGUUCAAUGGGCGCAAGCCUGACCCAGCAACGCCGCGUGAAGGAAGAAGGCUUUCGGGUUGUAAACUUCUUUUCUGAGGGACGAAGAAAGUGACGGUACCUCAGGAAUAAGCCACGGCUAACUACGUGCCAGCAGCCGCGGUAAUACGUAGGUGGCAAGCAUUAUCCGGAUUUAAUGGGUGUAAAGGGCGUGUAGGCGGGAAAGGAAGGCAGAUGGUAAAAGUCAGGGCUCAAACCUGGGACUGCAGUUGAAACUGUUUUUCUUGAGUGCUGGAGAGGGAAUCGGAAUGCCGGGGGUAGCGGUGAAAUGCGUAGAUAUAAGGAGGAACACCAGUGGCGAAGGCGGCUUGCUGGACAGUAACUGACGCUGAGGCGCGAAAGCGUGGGGAGCGAACAGGAUUAGAUACCCCAGUAGUC
rnacentral:rRNA from 1 species